GCACAUUUUAACAUGCAUAUCUGACUUAACAGUCUAAAGCAGCCGGGUGUGGUGGCCUGCACCAGUUGUCUCAGUUACUCGGGAGGCUGAGGCAGGAGGAUUGCUUGAGCCCAGGAGUUCAAGGCUGCAGUGAGCUAUGAUCACACCACUGCCCUCCAGCCUGGAAAACACAGCAAGGUCCUGUCUCUUAAAAACAAAAAGUCUAAAGUUCACCAGUUUCUCUCUCUUCCUUUCAAACAACAAAAGGACUAACAUUUCAACUAUCAACGUGCCUCUCCAGUUUUACAAGUUAUUGCUGCCCAGUAUUUCAGUUCUAAGUAUUCCUGGACAUUAAUCACCAAAGCUUAAGAAACUAGCCUAAAAAUCCAUCAGUCAGGGCAUCUACAGAUAAAAACAAAGUCAAGAAAUGGAAGAAAAAGAGAAAAUGAGGCUGGGCAUGCUGGCUCAUGCCUGUAAUCCCAGCACUUUGGGACACUGAGGCAGGCGGAUGGCUUGAGCUCAGGAGUUGAAGACCAACCUGGGCAACCCCGUUUCUACCAAAAAAUUAGCUGGGCAUGUGGUGUGUGCCUACAGACCCAGUUACUCAGGAGGCUGCAGUGAGCUGAGACUGCACCACCACACUCCACCCUGGCAGACAAGAG
rnacentral:lncRNA from 10 species